rnacentral:lncRNA from 1 species
AGGAACUACAAUACAAGGAUUUCUGAAAUUUGGUUUCAGGAUUUUUAUAAGUCAGCUAUACCGUGUCAUGCGUUUUCAGAUUCAUCACUCGACAACUUCCUGUUUACCGAACACUUGCAUAUUUUUACACUAUUAAUAUUAUCCACUUGCGGCGGGGGUAUCAUCAGUGAGCAGUAGCUCGCAGUUUCACUUGUUUCUUUU